AACAUCGCGCACCUGCGGGAACCUGCGGAGGGAUCAUUACAAGUGACCCCGGUCUAACCACCGGGAUGUUCAUAACCCUUUGUUGUCCGACUCUGUUGCCUCCGGGGCGACCCUGCCUUCGGGCGGGGGCUCCGGGUGGACACUUCAAACUCUUGCGUAACUUUGCAGUCUGAGUAAACUUAAUUAAUAAAUUAAAACUUUUAACAACGGAUCU
rnacentral:misc_RNA from 1 species